UCCACGCCGUAAACGAUGAAUGCUAGCUGAUGGAGCUCUACCGCCUCAUUGGCGUCGCUAACGCAUUGAGCAUUCCGCCUGGGGAGUACGGUCGCAAGACUAAAACUCAAAGGAAUUGACGGGGCCCGCACAAGCGGUGGAGCAUGUGGUUUAAUUCGAAGCAACGCGAAGAACCUUACCCAGGCUUGACAUCCUC
rnacentral:rRNA from 1 species